GUAGUCAUAUGCUUGUCUCAAAGAUUAAGCCAUGCAUGUCUAAGUAUAAGCAACUAUACGGUGAAACUGCGAAUGGCUCAUUAAAUCAGUUAUCGUUUACUUGAUAGUGCCUUACUACUUGGAUAACCGUGGUAAUUCUAGAGCCAAUACAUGCUUCAAACCCAGACUUCGGAAUGGGUGUAUUUAUUAGAUAAAAAACCAAUGCCCUUCGGGGCUCCUUGGUGAUUCAUGAUAACUUAACGAAUCGCAUGGCCUUGUGCCGGCGAUGGUUCAUUCUAUAUUCUGCCCUAUCAACUUUCGAUGGUAGGAUAGUGGCCUACCAUGGUUUCAACGGGUAACGGGGAAUUAGGGUUCUAUUCCGGAGAGGGAGCCUGAGAAACGGCUACCACAUCCAAGGAAGGCAGCAGGCGCGCAAAUUACCCAAUCCCGACACGGGGAGGUAGUGACAAUAAAUAACAAUAUAGGGCUCUUUCGGGUCUUAUAAUUGGAAUGAGUACAAUUUAAAUCUCUUAACGAGGAACAAUUGGAGGGCAAGUCUGGUGCCAGCAGCC
rnacentral:rRNA from 1 species